rnacentral:rRNA from 1 species
UACGGGGGGGGCAAGCGUUGUUCGGAAUUACUGGGCGUAAAGGGCUCGUAGGCGGCCAACUAAGUCAGACGUGAAAUCCCUCGGCUUAACCGGGGAACUGCGUCUGAUACUGGAUGGCUUGAGUUUGGGAGAGGGAUGCGGAAUUCCAGGUGUAGCGGUGAAAUGCGUAGAUAUCUGGAGGAACACCGGUGGCGAAGGCGGCAUCCUGGACCAACACUGACGCUGAGGAGCGAAAGCCAGGGAAGCAAACGGG